UCAGGAGGUUCUACCUGUGUUUAUGAAAUAUAAACCAGCUGAAGUUCAGGAGGUUCUACCUGUGUUUAUGAAAUAUAAACCAGCUGAAGUUCAGGAGGUUCUACCUGUGUUUAUGAAAUAGAAAGCAUCUGAAGUUCAGGAGGUUCUACCUGUGUUUAUGAAAUAUAAACCAGCUGAAGUUCAGGAGGUUCUCCCUGUGUUUAUGAAAUAUAAACCAGCUGAAGUUCAGGAGGUUCUACCUGUGUUUAUGAAAUAUAAACCAGCUGAAGUUCAGGAGGUUCUACCUGUGUUUAUGAAAUAGAAAGCAUCUGAAGUUCAGGAGGUUCUACCUGUGUUUAUGAAAUAUAAACCAGCUGAAGUUCAGGAGGUUCUCCCUGUGUUUAUGAAAUAUAAACCAGCUGAAGUUCAGGAGGUUCUACCUGUGUUUAUGAAAUAGAAAGCAUCUGAAGUUCAGGAGGUUCUACCUGUGUUUAUGAAAUAGAAAGCAUCUGAAGUUCAGGAGGUUCUACCUGUGUUUAUGAAAUAUAAACCAGCUGAAGUUCAGGAGGUUCUCCCUGUGUUUAUGAAAUAUAAACCAGCUGAAGUUCAGGAGGUUCUACCUGUGUUUAUGAAAUAUAAACCAGCUGAAGUUCAGGAGGUUCUCCCUGUGUUUAUGAAAUAGAAAGCAUCUGAAGUUCAGGAGGUUCUACCUGUGUUUAUGAAAUAUAAACCAGCUGAAGUUCAGGAGGUUCUCCCUGUGUUUAUGAAAUAUAAACCAGCUGAAGUUCAGGAGGUUCUACCUGUGUUUAUGAAAUAUAAACCAGCUGAAGUUCAGGAGGUUCUACCUGUGUUUAUGAAAUAGAAAGCAUCUGAAGUUCAGGAGGUUCUACCUGUGUUUAUGAAAUAUAAACCAGCUGAAGUUCAGGAGGUUCUACCUGUGUUUAUGAAAUAGAAAGCAUCUGAAGUUCAGGAGGUUCUACCUGUGUUUAUGAAAUAUAAACCAGCUGAAGUUCAGGAGGUUCUCCCUGUGUUUAUGAAAUAUAAACCAGCUGAAGUUCAGGAGGUUCUACCUGUGUUUAUGAAAUAGAAAGCAUCUGAAGUUCAGGAGGUUCUCCCUGUGUUUAUGAAAUAUAAACCAGCUGAAGUUCAGGAGGUUCUACCUGUGUUUAUGAAAUAGAAAGCAUCUGAAGUUCAGGAGGUUCUACCUGUGUUUAUGAAAUAUAAACCAGCUGAAGUUCAGGAGGUUCUACCUGUGUUUAUGAAAUAUAAACCAGCUGAAGUUCAGGAGGUUCUACCUGUGUUUAUGAAAUAUAAACCAGCUGAAGUUCAGGAGGUUCUACCUGUGUUUAUGA